rnacentral:rRNA from 1 species
GAUGAACGCUGGCGGCGUGCCUAACACAUGCAAGUCGAGCGAUUCUCUUCGGAGAAGAGCGGCGGGCGGGUGAGUAACGCGUGGGUAACCUGCCCUGUACACACGGAUAACAUACCGAAAGGUAUGCUAAUACGAGAUAAUAUGCUUUUAUCGCAUGGUAGAAGUAUCAAAGCUUUUGCGGUACAGGAUGGACCCGCGUCUGAUUAGCUAGUUGGUAAGGUAACGGCUUACCAAGGCGACGAUCAGUAGCCGACCUGAGAGGGUGAUCGGCCACAUUGGAACUGAGACACGGUCCAAACUCCUACGGGAGGCAGCAGUGGGGAAUAUUGCACAAUGGGCGAAAGCCUGAUGCAGCAACGCCGCGUGAGCGAUGAAGGCCUUCGGGUCGUAAAGUUCUGUCCUCAAGGAAGAUAAUGACGGUACUUGAGGAGGAAGCCCCGGCUAACUACGUG